AUUGAACGCUGGCGGCAUGCCUAACACAUGCAAGUCGAACGAGUGGCGGACGGGUGAGUAAUGUCUUGGAAACUGCCUGAUGGAGGGGGAUAACUACUGGAAACGGUAGCUAAUACCGCAUACCAUCGGAUGUUCCCAGAUGGGAUUAGCUAGUAGGUGGGGUAAUGGGUCACCUAGGCGACGAUCCCUAGCUGGUCUGAGAGGAUGACCAGCCACACGGGAACGAAGAAAAGGUUCAGAAUCCUAAGGGAGGGCGGAGUGGGGAAAAUUGCACAAUGGGGGCAAGCCUGAUGCAGUCAUGCCGCGUGUGUGAAGAAGGCCUUCGGGUUGUAAAGUACUUUCAGCGAGGAGGCGUUACCCAAACAGGAAGCAACGGCUAACUACGUGCCAGCAGCCGCGGUAAUAC
rnacentral:rRNA from 1 species